CGUUAUGGGAUUGCUAGUAUCUGACUGCACCAAAUUCCCAAUCUGCGAGAGGGACUGGAGAAAGGUUCGCACCAGGGACAAAGUCUAUAAUGAAAUAGUAAAGGAAAUGUUCCAUUUUGAAGAAGAUAGUAGAGGAAUUAUAAAGCGUAUAAUAUUCAAAAUGCUAGGAAGGGCUUGGAAGGAAACGAGGAAUAGAUUAUACCAUCACUUCUAUGACCCAGAACUUUCACUUGAAGAAAAUAUUGAAAACCACCCAGAUAGAAUUACUGAGGACAAUUGGAAAUGGUUUCUCGAUUAUCGCCAUAGCGACGAGACAUAGGUCAUAUAGUUUUGUUUCAUAACAGAAAAAGUCCAUUUAUGUCACAUUGAGUUAGUCAGAACUAGUGUCCAGUAACUCUUAAUUUGUUGGCAUGACAGGCGAUUUGUAAGAAAAAUGCUGAGAAUCGAUCAAAGUAGCUUUACACCCACACCGGCGGAUCGAAAAGCUUGGCUAGGCACGGAGAAGAAGAGUCGGAACGACAAGGGAGGAGAGUUGGUAGAGGAGAGUUGUAUCUCUUAACGCACAAAAGAUCUAAUGGGGCCUAUAUCCAUGAUGCAGCUCGUGCUAUUGGAGAAAGAAUUGAGGCUAUUGAGCAACGUGAUAAAUCCUCUAGACUGUUGUCUCAGAAUGAUUCGCCUACCCAAGCUCUUAGAAAGGAGCACCCGGGUAGGAUGUGUGGCAUGGGGUUGGGGCCGACUUCUAGUCAAGUCUUCGGUAUGAAUGUCCAUCAGCCGAUCAAUGAUUUUGAAAGGGAGGAAACCCAAAGGGUGCUACUUGAACUACAAGCAGAGUUGGCAGCAGAGAAAUU